UAAAGGCUUGGUCCUGACUUUACUAUCAGCUUCAACUCAACUUAUACAUGCAAGUAUCCGCAUCCCCGUGAGAAUGCCCUCAAUCCCCCGCCCGGAGAUGAGGAGCGGGCAUCAGGCACUUCUUUGACAGCCCAAAACGCCUUGCUACGCCACACCCCCAAGGGAAUUCAGCAGUAAUAAACAUUAAGCCAUGAGCGAAAGCUCGACUUAGUUAGAGUUUUUAGGGCCGGUAAAACUCGUGCCAGCCACCGCGGUUAUACGAGAGACCCAAGUGGAUAGACACGGCGUAAAGGGUGGUUAGGGGUACAAAUAAAUAGGGCCGAACACCCUCCAAGCUGUUAUACGCUUUUCGAGAUCAUGAAGUCCCACCACGAAAGUGGCCCUACCAAAAACUGCCCGAACCCACGAAAGCUAAGAAACAAACUGGGAUUAGAUACCCCACUAUGCUUAGCUGUAAACAUAGAUGAUAAUCUACAACUGUCAUCCGCCAGGGUACUACGAGCACCAGCUUAAAACCCAAAGGACUUGGCGGUGCUUUAGACCCACCUAGAGGAGCCUGUUCUAGAACCGAUAAUCCCCGUUCAACCUCACCACCCCUUGCCCUCUCCGCCUAUAUACCACCGUCGUCAGCUCACCCCGUGAGGGUUAAACAGUGAGCACAAUGGGUAACCCCCAGAACGUCAGGUCGAGGUGUAGCGAAUGAGGUGGGAAGAAAUGGGCUACAUUUUCUACCACAGAAUAUUACGAAAAGCAAACUGAAAUGAUGCUUAAAGGUGGAUUUAGUAGUAAAAAGAAAGCAGAGAGUUCUUUUGAACUAGGCUCUGAAGCGCGCACACACCGCCCGUCACCCUCCCCAAACGUAACCGUAAUAAAGUAAUUUAACACCCAAUCCUACAACACGGGGAGGCAAGUCGUAACAUGGUAAGUGUACCGGAAGGUGCACUUGGAAAAAU
rnacentral:ncRNA from 1 species